rnacentral:rRNA from 1 species
GUCCAGACUCCUACGGGAGGCAGCAGUGAGGAAUAUUGGUCAAUGGGCGAGAGCCUGAACCAGCCAAGUCGCGUGAAGGAUGACGGCCCUACGGGUUGUAAACUUCUUUUGUCAGGGAGCAAUUGAGUCCACGUGUGGGCUUAGCGAGAGUACCUGAAGAAAAAGCAUCGGCUAACUCCGUGCCAGCAGCCGCGGUAAUACGGAGGAUGCGAGCGUUAUCCGGAUUUAUUGGGUUUAAAGGGUGCGUAGGCGGAAUAUCAAGUCAGCGGUAAAAAUUCGGGGCUCAACCCCGUCGUGCCGUUGAAACUGAUGUUCUUGAGUGGGCGAGAAGUAUGCGGAAUGCGUGGUGUAGCGGUGAAAUGCUUAGAUAUCACGAAGAACUCCGAUUGCGAAGGCAGCUUACUAAACUGCCACUGACAUUGAUGCUCGAAAGUGUGGGUAUCAAACAGGAUUAGAUACCCGUGUAC